GGCCUUGUAGCUCAGACGGUAGAGCAUCGUUCUAGAAAUGCGAAGAUCGUGGGUUCGAUUCCCACCGGGGUCA
rnacentral:tRNA from 1 species